CUCUAACUACUAACUUAAAAAAAUGUCUCCUUCACUGGUAUCAACAAUCUCUAGUGGUAACUCAAUUUCUUGCAGAUUUUCUGCAUCAUUUUCUGUUCUUUCUCAUCAUUCUCUGCCACCUGCAUGUCCUUGUCCUUGUCAAUGUCAGCGAACUUGGGGAUUCUGAUUGGAGUUUUCUCAGGAGGGAGAGUAGAGUCAAUAUGAUGUUUAGACUGGAAGAUUUCUGAAUGUUCACAGACAGUUUGUUUACUCAUCUAUAUCAUCAUUGUCAACUUCUGCAUACAUAAAUAUGGGAAGCAUUUCACCAAUUCUAACUUACAUUUUUUUCAUCACAGAAAACAUCCAAACCAGGGCUGGUCAUCAGAAUCUCAGAGGGAAGAUAGAGAGAACUAGCAGAAGUAGCAGUGACAGUGACAGCAGCAGCAGCAGCAGCAGCAG
rnacentral:sRNA from 1 species